rnacentral:tRNA from 1 species
GGAGCUGUAGCUCAGUGGUAGAGUACCUGCCUAGGAUUCACAAGGCCCUGGGUUUGAUUCCCAGCACUACCC